UACGGAGGAUCCAAGCGUUAUCCGGAAUCAUUGGGUUUAAAGGGUCCGUAGGCGGUUUGGUAAGUCAGUGGUGAAAGCCCAUCGCUCAACGGUGGAACGGCCAUUGAUACUGCAAGACUUGAAUUAUUGGGAAGCAACUAGAAUAUGUAGUGUAGCGGUGAAAUGCUUAGAUAUUACAUGGAAUACCAAUUGCGAAGGCAGGUUGCUACCAAUACAUUGACGCUGAUGGACGAAAAGCGUGGGGAGCGAACGAGGAUUG
rnacentral:rRNA from 1 species